GACCCUCACCUUUUAUGUUUCCACUCUUUGAUACUUCAAAGGAAAAUGGUGUAACUUGCCCUUCAUCAUCCGUGCUUGAGAAGAACUUAGACAUCAGUCAUUUUAAACAAGCAUUUUUGGAAGAAGAAGAUGAACUUACUGAUAAUGAUGUGGAGGUUGAAGAAUUUGAGGGACAUGUAAAUGAAGAUACUAUGGAUUUCGAUGAAGUUUAAACGGGAAAUCUUAUUCAGGUUAACAGUAAUGGAACUGGUUUAAAUCUUGGGAACUUUGAAUUUCAGCUGGAUGGGAAUAGGAAUCAUCUAAAAAUUCAAACUGAUUCCCAGCAUUCUGUGGUGAAAAAACAUAGGAGCACUAAUGACAUCCAUAGUGCGGAAGAAAUGUGGGCUAAUGUUUGCAAAGGCACUAAGAUACUUGUGAAAGUUGUAAAAGAAGGGUUGGGUAAAAAAAGGUCCGACAUUGCUGCUUAUCCGAAGCUUAGGAGCGGAUUCUGGGUGAGAACUGCAAAAGAUACAUUUUAAACCCAAGGUAUUGAUCACCCGGUGCAAGAGUAUUGGAGUAUCAAAGAACAUUUCUGGGGUUGAACGCACACGCUUGAAAGUCAUAGCAAAAUCUUUGCAGCACCCUGGUUUUGUUGUGACCAUCCGAACUGUUGCUGCUGGUCAUUCUUUGCGAAAGGACUUGGAAGGGUUGCUUGCAACAUGGAGAAAUAUUGUUGAACAUGCAAAAUCUGCAACACUUGCAGCAGAUGAAGGUGUUGAAGGUGUUGUACCUGUUAUUUUGCACCAAGCAAUGGGGCAGACACUAUCUGUUGUCCAGGAUUAUUUUAAUGAGAAGGUUAAGAGAAUGGUAGUAGACUCCCCAAGGACAUACCAUGAGGUAUGAAACUCACUCUUCGAAUUUAAUUUAGUUGCCCCUUUACAUAUGUUUUAGUUGUUGUGGUUAUAUUACACCCCAGUGGGCCCAAUCCAAAGGUGUAGGUGGACAAGCUCAAAGUUUAAAAUUUGA